rnacentral:tRNA from 1 species
AUGCCAAGAUGGCUGCCAUUCAUGCACCCGAGGACA